rnacentral:rRNA from 1 species
UACGAAGGGUGCAAGCGUUUAAUCGGAAUUACUGGGCGUAAAGCGCGCGUAGGUGGUUCGUUAAGUUAGGAGUGAAAGCCCCGGGCUCAACCUGGGAAUUGCUUCUAAAACUGGCGAGCUAGAGUAUGGUAGAGGGUGGUGGAAUUUCCUGUGUAGCGGUGAAAUGCGUAGAUAUAGGAAGGAACAUCAGUGGCGAAGGCGACCACCUGGACUGAUACUGACACUGAGGUGCGAAAGCGUGGGGAGCAAACAGGAUUAGAUACCCCCGUAGUCCCUGAG